UACAGAGGGGGCAAGCGUUGUCCGGAAUUACUGGGCGUACAGCGCGCGCAGGCGGUGGCUGACGUGCCGUGUGACAAGCGGGGGCUCAACCCCCGAGGGCCACGGUAAACGGGGCGACUGGAGGGAGGGAGGGGAUGUGGAAUGCCCGGUGGAGCGGUGAAAUGCGUAGAGAUCGGGCGGAACACCAGCGGCGAAGGCGGCAUCCUGGCCCUCACCUGACGCUGAGGCGCGAGAGCGUGGGGAGCAAACCGG
rnacentral:rRNA from 1 species